rnacentral:rRNA from 1 species
AGUGAACGCUGGCGGUAGGCCUAACACAUGCAAGUCGAACGGCAGCACAGUAAGAGCUUGCUCUUACGGGUGGCGAGUGGCGGACGGGUGAGGAAUACAUCGGAAUCUACUUUUUCGUGGGGGAUAACGUAGGGAAACUUACGCUAAUACCGCAUACGACCUACGGGUGAAAGCAGGGGAUCUUCGGACCUUGCGCGAUUGAAUGAGCCGAUGUCGGAUUAGCUAGUUGGCGGGGUAAAGGCCCACCAAGGCGACGAUCCGUAGCUGGUCUGAGAGGAUGAUCAGCCACACUGGAUCUGGGGCACGGUCCAGACUCCUACGGGAGGCGACAGUGGGGAAUAUUGGACAAUGGGCGCAAGCCUGAUCCAGCCAUACCGCGUGGGUGAAGAAGGCCUUCGGGUUGUAAAGCCCUUUUGUUGGGAAAGAAAAGCAGCAGGUUAAUACCCCGCUGUUCUGACGGUACCCAAAGAAUAAGCACCGGCUAACUUCGUG